AACAGGAUUAGAUACCCUGGUAGUCCACGCCGUAAACUAUGGAUGCUAGCUGUUAGAGGUAUCGACCCCUCCAGUAGCGAAGCUAACGCGUUAAGCAUCCCGCCUGUGGAGUACGGUCGCAAGACUAAAACAUAAAGGAAUUGACGGGGACCCGCACAAGCGGUGGAGCGUGUUGUUUAAUUCGAUGGUAAGCGAAGAACCUUACCCAGGCUUGACAUCCUUGGAAUCUCUCCGAAAGGAGAGAGUGCUUUAUUGAGCCAAGUGACAGGUGAUGCAUGGCCGUCGUCAGCUCGUGUCGUGAGAUGUUUGGUUAAGUCCAUCAACGAGCGCAACCCUUGUGAUUAGUUGAAUUUUUCUAAUCAGACUGCCCUGGUAACAGGGAGGAAGGGGGGGGGAUGAUGUCAGAUCAGUAUUUCCCUUACGUCUGGGGCUACAAACACGCUACAAUGGCCGGUACAAAGGGCUGCCAAGUCGCGAGACGGAGCAAAUCCCAUCAAAGCCGGUCUCAGUUCGGAUAGCAGGCUGAAACUCGCCUGCUUGAAGCUGGAAUCGCUAGUAACGGUAGGUCAGCACACUACCGUGAAUACGUUCCCGGGUCUUGUACACACCGCCCGUCAAACCAUGAAAGUCGCCAAUACCUGACGUGUUGCCCUCGUGCAGCCCUAAGGUAGGGGAGAUGAUUGGGGGUUAAGUCGUAACAAGGUAACC
rnacentral:rRNA from 1 species